UACGUAGGGGGCAAGCGUUGUUCGGAAUUACUGGGCGUAAAGGGCGAGUAGGUGGCCAUCUAAGUCAGACGUGAAAUCCCCCGGCUUAACCUGGGAACUGCGUCUGAUACUGGACGGCUUGAGUAUGGGAGAGGGAUGUAGAAUUCCAGGUGUAGCGGUGAAAUGCGUAGAUAUCUGGAGGAACACCGGUGGCGAAGGCGGCGUCCUGGACCAAUACUGACGCUGAGGAGCGAAAGCUAGGGGAGCAAACGGG
rnacentral:rRNA from 1 species